GUUUUUUUUUGGUUCGUAAAUGUGAAGUGUGAUGAUUGGGUAUUCACACAUUGUGGGACAUGUCCCUCCCACAGACCUUUUUACAAUAUUAGCAAUUACAUGUGAGAAA